rnacentral:rRNA from 1 species
GUGUCAGCCGCCGCGGUAAUACGUAGGGUGCGAGCGUUAAUCGGAAUUACUGGGCGUAAAGUGUGCGCAGGCGGCCAUGCAAGUCGAGUGUGAAAGCCCCGGGCUUAACUUGGGAAUUGCGCUCGAAACUACGUGGCUGGAGUGUGGCAGAGGAAGGUGGAAUUCCACGUGUAGCGGUGAAAUGCGUAGAGAUGUGGAGGAACACCAAUGGCGAAGGCAGCCUUCUGGGCCAACACUGACGCUCAUGCACGAAAGCGUGGGGAGCAAACAGGAUUAGAAACCCCGGUAGUCC